GAUGAUAAUUUGUCCUUUUGUGUAGGUGUCCGCCUGCUUUUGAGACGGUGCGUCUUCGUGGGUGCUCCUUAGGGUCGGGCUUUAAUUGCGAUUGGUGGGUGGAUAACGGGGAUUAGAGUGGGGAGCUCGCACCCGCCGGUGGCCGCUUCCUACGGCGCGAGGUCGGGCGCCGCGCCGCCCAGGGGAGGGGAGGGGGAGGGAAAGCCGGUGUGGCCAGAGGAGGAAUUGGUGCUUCACCCGCGUGCGCCACGCCCGAGGCCGCUUGCGCCGGCGCGCGCUAGGUCGGCGGGCCGCCGAGGGCGUAGGGAGCGGAGAGGCCAGCGUUCAGCGAAGGGAUUGGUGUUUAACCCGCGUGAGCCCCACCCUAGGCCGCUUGCACCGGCGUGCGCUAGGUCGCCGGGCCGCCGCGGGCAUAGGGAGCGGAGAGGCCAGCGUGUAGAGGAAGGAAGGAUGCUUCAACCACGUGCGUCCCGCCUGAGAGGCAGUUGGUGGAGGUCCUCGAGACGAAGGCCUUUCCGCCGUAGAUGUAGUUCGAGCCGUUCGUGUAGCGUUUGACCACAUACACGGCUGCUACUCCCGCGGCUACGUUUUCUCCACGGGUCAAAGGAGUAUGCUCCUGCAGAUGCUUCAGAAGUUAUUUCUCUAACCUCUUUUAACGGUGUUUGACAAGUUGUACUGGUGAACCACCUAUGAAGACAUUAUCUAUAGCGGUGGCACCUAAAUCAUCACUUACGAGAAGUAAUAUAAAAGGGAUGUAAACUGAUGUCCAUUUUGGUGUUGACAAGAAACAAAUAAUGGAACAAGAUAGAGAGGGAGAAAAAUUGUAUGGUGGAGCUUUCGAAAAUCUGAAUACGACUAAAAAUCUUAAACAAUACUAUCUCUCUUCCUGAGGUUAGACGUACGAAACUUUUAUGAUUACUUUACUCCCAAACGAAGGAUUUUGUAUACAAUCAUAAGUUACUAAGGUCUGUCCAGCACCUGAAAGGUGCGAGAGUCUGUCGUUGUAAGAAAAUAGGUUGCCACUACACUAAAAUAGGUAGACUUCUAACACAAUAGUAAACAAAUUUAAGCUCACUAUAAUGUGUACAUCGAACGAUCCAUAUAAAAUCUUAUCAAUGAAUACCUUUUAAGAAUCUCCAGUAUCUACCCUGUCGUCUGUUGUAAAGUCUAUGCAGCGUCGACCCGUGGUACUAGUAACGGGGUUAUAGAGGAAAAAUACAACACUUCUAUAUGUACAUCCAAAGGAAAAACCAUUAAAAACCUUUAGUGUUUACUACAAUCAUAAUACCAACAUGACGUUAAACGUUCCAAAGACCAGUACGAUAAAGUUUUUAUGGAAAAUCUACACGAACGAAAGGAUGACGAACAAGUUUUAAGUAAAAAUGAUAACCUUAUACUACUAUGUAGACUAAGUUUGACCUUAAGUCAAAAGAACAUGUCUUUUGUCUUCCUAGUCCAACAUGCACUAUUAUAUAUACGGAUCUUUUACUUUCUAUAUUAUCUAAGGAUUCAUGAUGUUGAUAGUAUGGUAAGGUCCUUCAAUGAAGAACUACAGUAAGAUCUUUUAUCUUCCUAGUUAUCUUACAAGAGCCACUAGUAAAAGACACAGGAAAAUCCGUCGUUGUGGUUCAUCGUACCGAAGUAGAAUCUUGACAAGUUAUCCUGGUACAAACUUGAUGACGUAUACAUUUCUAGUAAAGAAGUGCUGAAGAGAAUACGAGGGUCCCUUAGGCCAGGUUUGAGGUGUAACGACAGUGUCUUGUUUCAACCUCCGUGUUAACUUUCUCUGGUCGAUCUAAGAAGAAGGCCCUUAAUUUGUCUUUUGGACCGAUCUCUAAAGUACCGUACAGUAAGGUAAAUAGAAACGAACACCCGAGUAGCAUAGGCUACUGUAUUAACCGUAAAUAAAGUAUUAAUCGUACAUGAACUCGUGUACUACACAAAACGAAAUUAAUACCUGUUGUUCCAUACAAAUGAAUAACACUAGUAUAUUCACUUGGUUGUAUAGGUUCCCGAUUUCAAGUAUAGAUGAUACAUACAAAUAAAAAGUAAGUGUGUACAGAGUAACGGAAAAAUCGUGAAUCUCUCGUUCCCUCUAACGAGAGUAAUUUACUAUUGUAAAAAAACGUUUUAUAAUUUAUUACUCGCGAGAACCCAAAAAAGGGUCGAUUGGAGUUAGGUUCUUCAGACUAGUAGUUAAUUACUCUAAAAAAAACGAACAUAGUAAGCAGCUUGGUAUAUUACUUAUGAGUAUAGCACCGAGUUUUGGUUAUGAAGUGUUAGAAAAACGGGUUUCGUUGGUUACAGUUAUAAAUAUAUAAGAUUUAUGUUUAUAAUAGCGAACACAUGAGUUCAUUUUACAUUCACGAAUUUGCUUUUCUUUGGUACAAUAGUGAGGAUGUCAGGUAUCCCUGUCUCUGUUCCUAUACAACGGAAGGUUAGAACAGAAGGAUGAAUGAAAAUGAAUGGUUCUUCUUAGUUGUUCCUUAGAAAAUUCUUUUGUCUAUUUUCUAGUAAAAGUCAAUCAUUACAUGUGGAGGGUUGAACAGAACAAAUGAAGAAAAAGACACGUACACGUGGGACAACUUACCGUAUGUAUGAUCUUAACGUUAACGUCCGUUUAGUUUCACUACCUACCAGAUUUUCUAAUAGGCCUAUUUAAGUAGAGGACCCAUUUUCUUCGGUACGCACUGCAAACCAACGUUUAUUAUAACGGAACUUUUACAUACUCACGGAACGGUAGACUGUCUUAGUUUGUAACUACGAAGGAACGAUUCGUAUGGAAACAUUUAAGAGAACCCCUUCCUUUUCAUAUUGAACGUAAAACGUUCAACGUUGUAACCAGGUUUUUAUGUACAACAAGUGUGUAUAGAUAACAUACAUCAAACACUAGUUGGUCUUACAAGUCUCAAAAACUUUCGUGGUAGUUACUAGAGACAAAUAUAGCUCUAUUUAAUACUUUUUUUUUACUUUAAGUUG
rnacentral:rRNA from 1 species